rnacentral:rRNA from 1 species
UAAUACGUAGGAGGCGAGCGUUGUCCGGAAUUACUGGGUGUAAAGCGCGUGUAGGCGGAUGGCCAAGUCUGGGGUGAAAUCACCUGGCUCAACUGGGUGGGGUCCUUGGAAACUGGCGGUCUGGAGGACGGUAGAGGCGAGUGGAAUUCCCGGUGUAGUGGUGAAAUGCGUAGAGAUCGGGAGGAACACCAGUGGCGAAGGCGGCUCGCUGGGCCGGCCCUGACGCUGAGACGCGAAGGCGUGGGGAGCGAACGGGAUUAGAUACCCCGGUAGUCCACGCAGUAAACGAUGCACACUAGGUGUGGGGGGUAUCGAGCCCCUCCGUGCCGUAGCCAACGCAGUAAGUGUGCCACCUGGGGAGUACGGCCGCAAGGUUA